rnacentral:rRNA from 1 species
UACGGGGGGUGCGAGCGUUGUCCGGAUUCACUGGGCGUAAAGGGCGCGUAGGCGGCCCGUUCAGUCCGGUCUUUAAGAGCGGGGCUCACCCCCGUGGUGGACCGGGGACGGACGGGCUGGGGCGCGGCAGAGGGGGACGGAAUGCCGGGUGUAGUGGUGAAAUGCGUAGAGAUCCGGCGGAACACCGGUGGUGAAGACGGUCCCCUGGGCCGAGGCCGACGCUGAGGCGCGAGAGCGCGGGGAGCGAACCGG